GCAUCUGAAUCUUACCCACUCCUUGUGCUGUAGUGCUGGACUGGGGACAUGUGAUGCAACAGGAAAGCAGAGGAAAUCCAGGCGAGCUCCCUUUACCACAGUGGGACUUGUCUCUACGCCUUUGCAACAUUU
rnacentral:snoRNA from 1 species